rnacentral:rRNA from 1 species
GACGAACGCUGGCGGCGUGCUUAACACAUGCAAGUCGAACGGAAAGGCCCUGCUUUUGCGGGGUGCUCGAGUGGCGCACGGGUGUGUAACACGUGAGUAACCUCCCCUUGACUUUGGGAUAACUUCAGGAAACUGCGGAUAAUACCGGAUAGGAGAUCCUGCUGCAUGGUGGGGGUUGGAAAGUUUCGGCGGUUGGGGCUGGACUCGCGGGUUAUCCGCUUGUUGGUGGGGUAGUGGCAUACAAAGGCUGUGACGGGUAGCCGGCCUGAGAGGGUGACCGGCGACAAUGCGACUGAGGGACGGCCCAGACGGCUACGUGAGGCAGCGGGGGGGAAUAUUGCACAAUGGGCGCAAGCCUGAGGCAGCGACGCCGCGUGCGGGAUGACGGCCUUCGGGGUGUAAACCGCUGUCGCCUGAGACGAAGCGUGAGUGACGGUAACGGGUAAAGAAGCACCGGCUAACUACGUG